AUGACAAUCACGCAAUAGAGAAUAAAAACAAAAUUACCUUAUCUUGCAUUUCUAACAAAGGUAAUUUCUAAGGCUUGAACCCAUGAUCUUCUGAUCACAUGACAACAAUAUUACCAGUUACUCCAAGACUCCCUUUCACAAAAAAAGUAUAAGAUAUUUUCAUAUUAGGAAUACAUAAUUUCUUGUCCUUUGCACAAAAAGUAUGAGAUAUUUAAUUUUAUUAUUAACAUCAUAGACGUCCUCUUUCAGUCCCUUUUGAGUUGAGUCUGUCGCACAAGGCUUAUCGAGUGUGGUUUGCGCUUUCUGUGUGACUUGCAGGCUAUUACACGAUAGGGUCUUCAACACGUCUCUUGUCCUUCACACUAGAAAUACAAAAAAUAUUAUCUUAAAAAUUAUAAAAUAUAAUAUAAUAAUAAGAUAUAUAUAAAUUGUUCAAAACUUUCAUCACAACUUUUUUUUUUUAGGGGAAGGAGAAUGGGGGAGGGGAUUACAAUGUAGGGAAUCGAACCCUCACCAACAAGGUGAAAGUUCAGGUAACUAACCAACUAAACUACUAAAAUUCCCACUUUCACCACAACUUAACUUACCAUAUAAGACAAGAUAUCACUUUUUGAUUGAAAUGUGACGAAGAACAUUGAUGAAGUCCAAUCAUAAUAAAAAUAACCAUAACAAUUACUAUAAUACUAUUUUCAACUAGAAAUGAACCAUUAAAAUACUAUUGCCCGACAAAUUUUUUUUCGUGCCUAUACUAAAAAUAAAUAUUUUAAUUAUUUAUUGAUUUCACAAAUCAAGAACAUUUUAUGAUUUUUUUUCAAACUAUUCUUAGUACUUAUUAAACAAUGAUAUACUUUUUCUGUUCAAUAAUAAUAAUCUCUAUUACUAAAAAUAAAUAUUUAAUAAGUAAUACUUAUUAAGUUAAAAAUUAAUAUAUAAUUUAUCUAUUUUAUUCUUACUAUUAAAUACUAUUCAUCACUCAAUGCAUAUCUCAAAAUAUUAAAUUUAUUAUAUUUAAAAAAUGAUACAAUAAAAUUACUUUCAUUAUUUAUUAUUUCUUAAUAUGUGUGUCGAAUUAAUACUAAAUAUAAGUAUUGUUGGACGUAAGGAGCAACAGUUAAAUUUAGAAUUUUAAAAAUAAAUUUAUUAAACUAAAAUUAAAUUUUUAAAAAAAUAUAUAUAUUAAGUAAAUAAGAGUCAAGUAUAAAAUGGAGAGAGUAUUACCUUGAUAUGACACCAAAUUAAAAGGUUGCUUGUAAAAGUAAUAAACAAUUCACAAUUGUAUUUUCUACCUAAUAAAAGCAACACAGUAGAUGACAACCUCCACCAUCAUAUAUUUAAUUUUUUUUAUACUAAAUUAAGCAAAUUCUUUACGUGUAUAAUUGUACUACUUAAAUGGGACCACUAAACGGUGAAAUUGAUGGCACCAUCAAUCACGCAAUAGAGAAUAAAAACAAAACUAACGCCGUCAAAACAUUUUAAUAGCCUCUUUGGCCAAAAUACUAAAACUCGCUUAUUUUUAGAAGCUUCUUUUUCUUUUUUUUUAUGAAAAGUGCUUUUGAAAGAAUUAGAACAAUAACAAUUUUCAUUGGACUAAUUAGCUUUUAGAAAAUAAGUUCUGAUACUGUUUAAAAGCAUUGCAUUUUUUUAAAACUUACUUGACUAAUUGAUACUUAUUAUAUGAUAUUGUUAGUUUAAAAUAUUUGCUAUUGUAUUGCAUAGCUAAAUUCAUCAUUGUAUAACAAGAAAAUUUCUAUUUUAUGUAAUGUUCGAUUUGGUGUAAUUUCAACGUUAUCUUAUUUUUUUUUCCUUAUUUUGUCUCUAUUUAUUGUUAACCAAUUUCUUUUUAUAUUUUAUCUUAUUUGUAAUAGCUCCUCACCGUACCUCACUUUUUUUGUAAGUUUAUCCUUUAGAUAUGUUAAUAUCUGACAUUAUAUAACAAUGAAAAAUGAUAUACAAUUUAUUCAAACAUUAUAUUCAUUUAAACAAUAUAUUAUAAUACAUACUACAAUGCAAUACAAUAAUAUUGUAAUACAUUACUAUUUGUAAUAAUCGUCCAAAAAAGAUGUAGAAGUUUGAUUAAAUAUCUCAACUUUUAAAAUAAAUGAGUAUAAAUUACACAACUUAUAUUUUUAAUAUUACAAAAAAUUUCAACUCCCUAAACAUAUUACAAAAAUCCCAACAUAUACACAAAAUGUUACAUAUAUGUCGGCUAUAUUAUGUAUAUUGAUAGGGAGAGAGAGUAAACUAAUUAAAAAAGGAAGAGAGUGUAAUUACUCCCCAAAGAUUUGAUAUUUAUGUUAUUUAUAUUUAUUUAUUUUUUUACUUCUCAAAAAUUUGUUCAAAUGGACUACUAUUGUUUAGGCAACAGACUGAUAGAAAAUGUGACAUCAAAUAACCCAAAGACGGAACAUAAAGCUUGCUUUAAUAUUUGGUUGAAAUUAUUCUACUUAUUAAUUUUUUCAAAGAAAAAAACUUCCACAGAAAUAAAAGAUCAAAAUUAAUUCCUAAAUCCAAAAUUUAGAAGCAAAACUAACAAAAAGAAAAAGCUAAGGAGAAUAAUUCAAAGAAGAUGAAGAGGACUUUAAUCAAAAUCUUUAAUGAAUGCCUUUGAUAUUAAAAUUCCCAUUCCUAUCUUUAAGUUAAUAAUAGUUCGAAAAAUAGAUUUAGCCAUCACAUACCUGAAGAAUUAACUCUUAACAAUUUGACUUGUAACAUAACUACAUGCUUAACAUUCAUACAACAACAAUUACAACAGAUGUGGUUCUGUACGUGCAUUCCCACCCACACACAUGGGUUAGCCUCUGACUAUAUAUAGACUCCCUCAAUUUCAAUUUGUUUAUUUGACUUUCUCUUUUUAGCAACUCAUUAUUUCAAUUUACAUAUGACAUAUCUAAAAUUUCAACAUUAAAGGCACUUUGGUAUAAAUUAUUUCUUCCAUUUUAAUUUGUUUGACACUUUUUUUUUAAUUCAUUUGAAUUUAUUUGACUAAAUUUUUUUGUUUGAUUUUUAAAAAAAUGUCUCUUUUACAUCAAGGAUGUGGCCUAGUGGUUUAGUAGAGUUGAAUUAAGCACCAUGAGAUUUGAGGUUUAAUUCUCAAUAUAGACAAACAUUGGGUGAUUUCUUUUCUAUCUAUUCUAAUCUUUGUAGACAAGUUACCUGAUAAUUGUUGCUGGUGGGAGAUGGUAGGUAUCUCGUGGAAUUAGUCGAAGUACGUACAAGCUGAUUCAGAUACUACAGUUAUAAAAAAAAGAUGCUUUCUUUUCUUUUUAACAACUUUAUAAUUUUAAUUUUCUAUUUAAUAUGUUGAGAUCUCAAAAUUAAGAAAUAUUUUAAUACAUUUGACAUAUCUUUUAAUAUACACAAGAUUCAAGUCUUUGUUAUUUUCUUAAACUUUUCAUCAAGUUAAAAUAGAUCAAAUAAAUAAAAAUAAAAGAAAUAAUAUUUUAAAUUUAAUAUUAUAAAAAUUUAAAUUUUAUUUUAUUUUUAAAAAUUUCAUAUAAAAUUAAAAUCACAUAAAUAAAUUUAAAAAAAAGACACAUCGUACCAAAUAUCCACAAUAACCUUUGACUAGAUCGUGUACACGCAUAACAAAUCCACUAAAAAAAUAUAAACGUCAAAUCAAUAAUUAUUAUUAUUAUAUUAUAUUAAUAUAAAAUAAUAUAUAAUAUAUAUUUUAAAUUCUGAAUUCGCCUCAUGACAGUUAUAACUGUCACUUUGCCUAACGGCUAACUUUUAACAAUAGCAUAAAACAAGGGCAGCAGAACCUCUUUCCUACUCUUGGCACGUGGUCAACCCUCAGUUCGACAAUUCACGGCACUUUAAUCGUUUAGCACAAAUUAAUACUUUUACUUUAAACCCCUUAAUAAAUGUUGUUGAACACUGGUUUAUUAACACAUAUAAGUAGAAUUAAAAUAACAAUAAAAAUAAAUUAAUUUCUCCAUUUUUAAAGACUUAAUAUAUUUUAUUUAUAUUUUUUUAAAAAAUAAUUAAAAAAUAACUUGACUAAAUUAUUUUUAUGUAUUAUUCUUUUUAAUUUAAUAUUUUUUUCCUAGAUUAUACUAAGAAUAAAGAUGAUAGGUAUUGUGGAUCUAAGUUGUUCGAAUUUUCUAAAAAUAUUAUCGUAUUUAUAUUAGAUUUUUUAAAAUUAUGUUACUUUUAAAGGAUCUAACAUACAUUUAAUGAUAUUUUUGAAGAGUUCAAAUAAUUUUAUUAAACUAUCUAUUUAUAUAAAAAUGACGAGUAUUUAAAAACGGAGGGAGUAAUAUGCUUUUUAAAGAUGACAAGUAUUUAGAAAAGGAGGGAGCAUGGUUUUUUAACAAUUUGCCGAGAAAAAAAAGUUUUAUCGGUUCAAUGACUUUAUAUCAGUCCAUGUAUAAUGCCUUUCUGAGUUUCAGUUUAGCUUCUUUCCUAGUUUUUCUAACCAUAGUUAAACAGUAUAUCUCUCUUCCAUUCUAUGAGAUCUCCCAUCAAAGAUCCAUUUUUCAGGUGAGUAAAAUUCAGCUGAGUUUUCUACACUUCUUCGACCAGUUAUAUAUGCAUUUUUUUUUAUUCUAGACAUCAUGAAAUUGAAGGACAAAAUUGGAUUUUUGAGGUCAGAUUUUAUUGUUUCUGUCGGUUGGAUGAAAUUUUCACUGAUCAAGACUGAAUUUUUGCUAAUCAUUUCUUGAAUUUGACAAGAAGAAAAUGAGAUUUCUUGAUUUGUUGUUGAAUCUACAUUCUGGUUUUGGUCUUUGGGGAUCUGUUAUAAAACGAAUCAUUUGAUGUAAAUUCACAAAUUUGAAUGCAAGUGCUAAUCAAUUAGUAUGUUUUUUUGUAGAAUUUUAUGAUGUUAUGUUUAUCUUGUUCCUAUGAUUUUUUAAUUUUUUUUCAAUCUGGGUCAUUUCAUCUUUGAUUGUUUUUUUUUUUUGCAGGAUAAUUUGGUAAAAUAAAAUUGGUACCGUAGAAUUAAUAAACUUAUCCAAGUCCUGCAUCUUUUUCUAUGCUGGAAAUGAUUGAGUUUUCUCAUAAGAAAUUUUUUCUGUCAAAUUGAAUAAAUAAAAAGGGGAAAAAGAUUGGGUUUUUACCAGUUUCCAGAGCUGCAGAAUGGACUCAUGGAUCCCAGCAACACCGGGGAAUCCAGGAUUUGUGAAAUCUCCACCAAUUUGCAGUGACAGGCAGGAAAAUCAGCAAGGUCAAGUGGAUUGGUCAGAUUUGCAAAGAAA
rnacentral:lncRNA from 1 species